rnacentral:rRNA from 1 species
UACGGGGGGGGCAAGCGUUGUCCGGAUUUACUGGGCGUAAAGGGAGCGUAGGCGGACUUUUAAGUGGGAUGUGAAAUACUCAGGCUCAACCUGAGGGCUGCAUUUCAAACUGGAAGUCUAGAGUGCAGGAGAGGAGAGUGGAAUUCCUAGUGUAGCGGUGAAAUGCGUAGAGAUUAGGAAGAACACCAGUGGCGAAGGCGACUCUCUGGACUGUAACUGACGCUGAGGCUCGAAAGCGUGGGGAGCAAACAGG